rnacentral:misc_RNA from 1 species
GCUCUUUGUUUUUUGAAAUGAUGCUUUUAUGAGAUAGAGCUUUUUUAGAUAAUGCUUUUUUAGAUAAUGCUGGGGAAGGUUUUCCGGUUUAUCUCGGAGGGCUUGUAGCUCAGUUGGUUAGAGCGCGCGCUUGAUAAGCGUGAGGUCGGAGGUUCAAGUCCUCCCAGGCCCACCAAUUUACCUAUCCAUUUGCCUUUAUCCGUUUAUUUGCCGAUUUAUCGGUCCAUUGAAUUUAAGUGUUGGUAGCAGUUUUUAUAAUGAUGAGAAAUCAUGCUUAUAAAAAAACUCCUUAUAAAAGGCUUGUUUUUAAAAUGUGACGCUUAUCCAUUUCGCUUAGGCAAGAGAAACUUCAAGCGGUUCAAAUGCAAAAGGCUUUAAAUUUUGCAAAACAAUUUGAAUUUUAAAGUGAUCCAAGUUCGUGAUCUCGAAUUUAAAAGUUUCGAAUGCUUUAUCCUUUUUUGGGGGCCGUAGCUCAGCUGGGAGAGCACCUGCUUUGCAAGCAGGGG